rnacentral:rRNA from 1 species
CUACGGGGGGCACCAGUGGGGAAUCUUAGACAAUGGGCGCAAGCCUGAUCUAGCCAUGCCGCGUGAGUGACGAAGGCCUUAGGGUCGUAAAGCUCUUUCGCUGGGGAAGAUAAUGACGGUACCCAGUAAAGAAACCCCGGCUAACUCCGUGCCAGCAGCCGCGGUAAUACGGAGGGGGUUAGCGUUGUUCGGAAUUACUGGGCGUAAAGCGCGCGUAGGCGGAUCAGAAAGUUGGGGGUGAAAUCCCGGGGCUCAACCCCGGAACUGCCUUCAAAACUCCUGGUCGUGAGUUCGAGAGAGGGGAGUGGAAUUCCGAGUGUAGAGGUGAAAUUCGUAGAUAUUCGGAGGAACACCAGUGGCGAAGGCGGCUCACUGGCUCGAUACUGACGCUGAGGUGCGAAAGCGUGGGGAGCAAACAGGAUUAGAUACCCUCGUAGUC